rnacentral:lncRNA from 1 species
GUGUUUGGAAUUGGAUCCAGUUGUAACGAUUUACUCCGCUGUUUGCUACAAGAUUCAGCAGCUGUUCCAUGUGGGGGCCCCGUUCCUGCUGUUCCCAGGCACCCGCUGGCAGGACAAAGCACCUUUCCCCAGGUGUGGAGAACCAUGCCUGUAAGGCCUGUGCUGGGUGGGGCUGCUGUUGGAUGAGGUUGGGGGGGUCCCUCAGGAGAAUAGAAGAAUUGUCCUGAGUUGGAGGCCAGGGAGACAGUCAGGGAAGAGAAGAGACCAGGGGCAGGCUACAGAAUAAAAAUUUAAAUGUUACUCAAUUCUGAAAGAAUAAGUCAGAAUAACCCCUUUUUAAAAAACCUACUUUUAUAACCAGAUCAUCUAAGGGGGAACAGAAAUCCAAUGGUUUGCCUCUAAGGCUCACGAAGUAACCUGUAAAGAUACUGGCCAUUCAACUGUUUUAACUCGUCUGUGCCGUCUAUAGAAUUCCUUUAAAGCCAAAUAG